rnacentral:rRNA from 1 species
GUGGGGAAUAUUGGACAAUGGGCGCAAGCCUGAUCCAGCAAUGCCGCGUGGGUGAAGAAGGUCUUCGGAUCGUAAAGCCCUUUCGGCGGGGACGAUGAUGACGGUACCCGCAGAAGAAGCCCCGGCUAACUUCGUGCCAGCAGCCGCGGUAAUACGAAGGGGGCUAGCGUUGCUCGGAAUUACUGGGCGUAAAGGGCGCGUAGGCGGCCUGCUUAGUCAGACGUGAAAAUCCUGGGCUCAACCUGGGGACUGCGUUUGAGACGGGCGGGCUUGAGGAUGGAAGAGGCUCGUGGAAUUCCCAGUGUAGAGGUGAAAUUCGUAGAUAUUGGGAAGAACACCGGUGGCGAAGGCGGCGAGCUGGUCCAUUACUGACGCUGAGGCGCGACAGCGUGGGGAGCAAACAGG